UUCAAUUCUCCCUUUAGUGAUUACACACGUUUAGGGCUUCCACAAACCAUGAAUGACACCUAGCAGCAUAUCAUGGUUACCCAAGCUAAUCAGAAGAGGUGGAGAACCUAUUCAGUUCGGGAUUACAAAUGCAAUACGGUCCUUCUCUAAUCUAAUACUCUUGACCACAUUGUUUGGCAUGAUAGUUUAUUUACUCAUGUCUACUAUCCAAUGUGAAUCGUUUGCUUAUAUGAUUUCCUUGAAUGUGAUUUGGAACGCAUUCCCCAAUCUCAUUCAUACUAUGGCCAGAGAUUCCAAAUCAUAUCAUAGAGUAUUCUCCCUCAACUGUUUGAAGGUUAGAGAUCCCUUGUUGCG
rnacentral:lncRNA from 1 species